rnacentral:rRNA from 1 species
GAUGAACGCUAGCGGCAGGCUUAAUACAUGCAAGUCGUGGGGCAGCAGGUUUGUAGCAAUACAGAUGCUGGCGACCGGCAAACGGGUGCGGAACACGUACAGAACCUUCCUUUGAGCGGGGAAUAGCCCAGAGAAAUUUGGAUUAAUACCCCAUAGUAUAAUGAAGUGGCAUCACUUUAUUAUUAAAGAUUUAUCACUCGAAGAUGGCUGUGCGGCUGAUUAGGUAGUUGGCGGGGUAAAGGCCCACCAAGCCUGCGAUCAGUAACUGGUGUGAGAGCACGACCAGUCACACGGGCACUGAGACACGGGCCCGACUCCUACGGGAGGCAGCAGUAAGGAAUAUUGGUCAAUGGAGGCAACUCUGAACCAGCCAUGCCGCGUGGAGGAUGAAGGUCCUCUGGAUUGUAAACUUCUUUAUAUGGGACGAAAAAAGGAC